AACGAACGCUGGCGGCAGGCUUAACACAUGCAAGUCGAGCGCCCCGCAAGGGGAGCGGCAGACGGGUGAGUAACGCGUGGGAAUCUACCCAUCUCUACGGAAUAACGCAUGGAAACGUGUGCUAAUACCGUAUACGUCCUUCGGGAGAAAGAUUUAUCGGAGAUGGAUGAGCCCGCGUUGGAUUAGCUAGUUGGUGGGGUAAAGGCCUACCAAGGCGACGAUCCAUAGCUGGUCUGAGAGGAUGAUUAGCCACACUGGGACUGAGACACGGCCCAGACUCCUACGGGAGGCAGCAGUGGGGAAUAUUGGACAAUGGGCGCAAGCCUGAUCCAGCCACGCCGCGUGAGUGAUGAAGGCCCUAGGGUUGUAAAGCUCUUUCACCGGUGAAGAUAAUGACGGUAACCGGAGAAGAAGCCCCGGCUAACUUCGUGCCAGCCGCCGCCGUAAGAC
rnacentral:rRNA from 1 species